rnacentral:rRNA from 1 species
GACGAACGCUGGCGGCGCGCCUAACACAUGCAAGUCGAACGAGCGAGAGAGAGCUUGCUUUCUUGAGCGAGUGGCGAACGGGUGAGUAACGCGUGAGGAACCUGCCUCAAAGAGGGGGACAACAGUUGGAAACGACUGCUAAUACCGCAUAAGCCCACGGCUCGGCAUCGAGCAGAGGGAAAAGGAGCAAUCCGCUUUGAGAUGGCCUCGCGUCCGAUUAGCUGGUUGGUGAGGUAACGGCCCACCAAGGCGACGAUCGGUAGCCGGACUGAGAGGUUGAACGGCCACAUUGGGACUGAGACACGGCCCAGACUCCUACGGGAGGCAGCAGUGGGGAAUAUUGCACAAUGGGGGAAACCCUGAUGCAGCGACGCCGCGUGGAGGAAGAAGGUCUUCGGAUUGUAAACUCCUGUUGUUGAGGAAGAUAAUGACGGUACUCAACAGGGAAGUGACGGCUAACUACGUGCCAGCAGCCGCGGUAAAACGUAGGUCACAAGCGUUGUCCGGAAUUACUGGGUGUAAAGGGAGCGCAGGCGGGAAGACAAGUUGGAAGUGAAAUCCAUGGGCUCAACCCAUGAACUGCUUUCAAAACUGUUUUUCUUGAGUAGUGCAGAGGUAGGCGGAAUUCCCGGUGUAGCGGUGGAAUGCGUAGAUAUCGGGAGGAACACCAGUGGCGAAGGCGGCCUACUGGGCACCAACUGACGCUGAGGCUCGAAAGUGUGGGUAGCAAACAGGAUUAGAUACCCUGGUAGUCCACACUGUAAACGAGGAUUACUAGGUGUUGGAGGAUUGACCCCUUCAGUGCCGCAGUUAACACAAUAAGUAAUCCACCUGGGGAGUACGACCGCAAGGUUGAAACUCAAAGGAAUUGACGGGGGCCCGCACAAGCAGUGUAGUAUGUGGUUUAAUUCGACGCAACGCGAAGAACCUUACCAAGUCUUGACAUCCUGCGACGCACAUAGAAAUAUGUGUUUCCUUCGGGACGCAGAGACAGGUGGUGCAUGGUUGUCGUCAGCUCGUGUCGUGAGAUGUUGGGUUAAGUCCCGCAACGAGCGCAACCCUUAUGGUCAGUUACUACGCAAGAGGACUCUGGCCAGACUGCCGCUGACAAAACGGAGGAAGGUGGGGAUGACGUCAAAUCAUCAUGCCCUCUAUGACUUGGGCUACACACGUACUACAAUGGCGUUAAACAAAGAGAAGCGAGACCGCGAGGUGGAGCAAAACUCAGAAACAACGUCCCAGUUCGGACUGCAGGCUGCAACUCGCCUGCACGAAGUCGGAAUUGCUAGUAAUCGCAGAUCAGCAUGCUGCGGUGAAUACGUUCCCGGGCCUUGCACA